rnacentral:rRNA from 1 species
AACCGAGGUGUCAGCGUUAUCGGAUUAUUAGGUUUAAGGGUGUGUAGGCGGAUAUCUAAGUCAGUGGUGAAAUCCCGGGGUCUCAACUCCGGAACUGCCAUUGAUACUGGUUAUCUUGUAGUAUAGUUGAAGUAGGCGGAAUGUGUAAUGUAGCGGUGAAAUGCUUAGAUAUUACACAGAACACCGAUUGCGAAGGCAGCUUACUAAGCUAUUACUGACGCUGAUGCACGAAAGCGUGGGGAGCGAACAGGAUUAGAUACCCUGGAUAGUCCACGCCGUAAACGAUGAUUACUCGUUGUUGGCGAUAUAUUGUCAGCGACUGAGCGAAAGCAUUAAGUAAUCCACCUGGGGAGUACGUUGGCAACAAUGAAACUCAAAGGAAUUGACGGGGGCCCGCACAAGGCGGAGGAACAUGUGGUUUAAUUCCGAUGAUACGCGAGGAACCUUACCUGGGCUUAAAUGUAGCAUGACCGUACCCGAAAGGGUAUUUCUCUUCGGAGCAGGUUACAAGGUGCUGCAUGCUGUCGUCAGCUCGUGCCGUGAGGUGUCGGGUUAAGUCCCAUAACGAGCGCAACCCCUAUUGUUAGUUGCCAGCGGGUAAUGCCGGGAACUCUAGCAAGACUGCCACCGUAGGUGAGAGGAAGGUGGGGAUGACGUCAAGUCAGCACGGCCCUUAUGUCCAGGGCUACACACGUGUUACAAUGGCCAGUACAAAGGGCAGCUACCUGGUAAGCAGGAUGCAAAUCUCUAAAACUGGUCUCAGUUCGGAUCGGAGUCUGCAACUCGACUUCGUGAAGUUGGAUUCGCUAGUAAUCGUAUAUCAGCAACGAUACGGUGAAUACGUUGCCCGGGCCUUGUACACACCGCCCGUCAAGACCAUGGAAGGCCGGGGGUACCUGAAGUUCGUAAGCCGCAGGAGCGACCCUAGGGUAAAUCUGUAAUACGGGGU